GUGACUGCGAAGGGGGGACGGAGAAGGCUAGGCCAUCCGGGCGACGGUCGUCCCGGUUUAAGCGUGUAGGUGGGAGGAGCAGGCAAAUCCGCUCUUCUGUGAACACUGAGGCGUGAUGACGAGCCGCUACGGCGGUGAAGUGGUUGAUGCCCGGCUUCCAGGAAAAGCCUCUAAGCACCAGGUGACAUUGAAUCGUACCCCAAACCGACACAGGUGGUCAGGUAGAGA
rnacentral:rRNA from 1 species